UGGUGAGGUAAUAGCUCACCAAGGCGAUGAUACGUAGCCGACCUGAGAGGGUAAUCGGCCACAUUGGGACUGAGACACGGCCCAAACUCCUACGGGAGGCAGCAGUAGGGAAUCUUCCACAAUGGGCGAAAGCCUGAUGGAGCAAUGCCGCGUGAGUGAAGAAGGUUUUCGGAUCGUAAAACUCUGUUGUUGAAGAAGAACAUGCGUGAGAGUAACUGUUCACGUACUGACGGUAUUCAACCAGAAAGCCACGGCUAACUACGUG
rnacentral:rRNA from 1 species